UGGCAUAACCCGGGAAACUGGGGAUACUCCGGCAUAGAUCAUAGAUGCUGGAAUGCGCUGUGAUCGAAAGCUUUUGUGCCUAAGGAUGGGUCUGCGGUCUAUCAGGUUGUAGUGGGUGUAACGUACCUACUAGCCUACGACGGAUACGGGUUGUGGGAGCAAGAGCCCGGAGAUGGAUUCUGAGACAUGGAUCCAGGCCCUACGGGGCGCAGCAGGCGCGAAAACUUUACAAUGCGGGAAACCGCGAUAAGGGGACACCGAGUGCCAGCAUCCUAUGUUGGCUGUCCAUAUGUAUAAAUCACAUGUGUAAGCAAGGGCCGGGCAAGACCGGUGCCAGCCGCCGCGGUAACACCGGCGGCCCGAGUGGUGGCCACUACUAUUGGGUCUAAAGGGUCCGUAGCCGGUUUGGUCAGUCUUCCGGGAAAUCUGACGGCUUAACCGUUAGGCUUUCGGGGGAUACUACCAGGCUUGGGACCGGGAGAGGUAAGAGGUACUACCGGGGGUAGGAGUGAAAUCUUGUAAUCCCCUGUGGGACCACCAGUGGCGAAGGCGUCUUACCAGAACGGGUCCGACGGUGAGGGACGAAAGCUGGGGGCACGAACCGGAUUAGAUACCCGGGUAGUCCCAGCUGUAAACUAUGCUGCUAGGUGUCAGGGACGGUGCGACCGUUUCUGGUGCCGCAGGGAAGCCGUGAAGCGAGCCACCUGGGAAGUACGGUCGCAAGGCUGAAACUUAAAGGAAUUGGCGAGGGAGCACUACAACGGGUGGAGCCUGCGGUUUAAUUGGACUCAACGCCGGAAAACUCACCGGGGGCGACAGCAAUAUGUAGGUCAAGCUAAAGACUUUAUCAGAAUCGCUGAGAGGAGGUGCAUGGCCGUCGUCAGUUCGUACUGUGAAGCAUCCUGUUAAGUCAGGCAACGAGCGAGACCCGUGCCCACUGUUGCCAGCAUGUCCUUCGGGAUGAUGGGUACUCUGUGGGGACCGCCGAUGCUAAAUCGGAGGAAGGUGCGGGCUACGGUAGGUCAGUAUGCCCCGAACCUCCCGGGCUACACGCGGGCUACAAUGGCCGGGACAAUGGGUCCCUACCCCGAAAGGGGAUGGUAAUCUCAUAAACCCGGCCGUAGUUCGGAUCGAGGGCUUAACCCGCCCUCGUGAAGCUGGAAUCCGUAGUAAUCGCGUUUCAAC
rnacentral:rRNA from 1 species